rnacentral:lncRNA from 10 species
GUAGGAAGUGAUCAGAUCAUGGAGCAGAUUUCUCACUUUCUGUUCUCCUGAUAGUCGGUUAUCACGAGAUCUGGUUUUUUGAAAGUUUGUAGCACUUCCCCUUAGCCCUGUCUCUCUCCUGCUCUGCCAUGUGAAGAUCCUGCCUGCUUCCCCUUCACCUUCCACCAUCAUUGUAAGUUUCCUGAGGCCUCCUAAGCCAUGCCUUCUAUACAGCCUGUGGAACUGAAGAAUCGGUAUCAUGUAAAUGGCCAUACUGCCCAAGGUAAUUUAUAGACUCAAUGCCAUCCCCAUCAAGCUACUAAUGACUUUCUUCACCGAAUUGGAAAAAUCUACUUUAAAAUUCAUAUGGAACCAAAAAAGAGCCCACAUCACCAAGUCAAUCCUCAGCCAAAAGAACAAACCUGGAGGCAUCACGCUACCUGACUUCAAACUAUACUACAAGGCUA